GCCCUUAACAUUAUUACUUGAGGAAGUGCUCUGGCUCCCAUGGUCUUCUGGUCUACUCCUAUGUGUGUGCAGAGGUAUGAUGGAGAUGCUCCAAGCUGCUGCCCUACACCUCUGCUGGCUAGCUGGAUGCUUACACAUCUCAAAAUUGGCAUUGAAUUCUGCUACAGGUGGUCCAGAACUGUGGAGCCAGCAUAUUUAGAAAAUGGGCUGCAAAAGAUCAAACUGAUGAAAUUUCAAUGGAACUGGGAGAAACGCGGGCUUCAAGAGAAUUGAGGUGACACACUCCUGUGCUAGGGCUGAGUUCUGAUCUCCUUCCUCUGCAAUAAUCUCAUACAAAAGACAAAGAUGUGAGGAAUAACAAAGGGCUGUUGGAUAGGCAGUUUUGCUGACGCAGUGAUUUUGUUGGAGUAAGUAACAUCGGACACAUCUUCUAAGUAUUUCAGUCCCUUGCUUACCUGUUUUAGUUAAGAUUUUCUCUCUUAACAUAUAAAAUCUUUGAUAUAAACACAGCAGAUUUAAUUUAAUUGAUUGCAUCCUUUUUACUCAUAAAAUGUUAACUAUUUUGCAAUCAGUCUGUAUGUACAUCUCUGAACAGAGCCUGUAUCCAGCUGGAUAAAGGAAUAUACCAUGUGAUGAUUAAAAAACAGUAUGUUAUGCAGAAUAUACUUAAAUCACUGAUCCUCCCCUUUGACCAGAGUUCCUAGAUCACUAAUUUCAACAAAAUCUAAUUAGAACACAAUAGCCAUAGAAUUAGCUAGUUGAAGGGCACGUGUGCAUUAUAAAAUACUGUUCCACUUUGUAAGUUACAGACUCUAUAAACUCACAAACAACCUUGCAAAGGAGCAGCAGUUUCAGUACCUAUGGAUCAGCUUUGCAUAUCCUAGAAAAGGAGUAUUUUAUGUUAUUUAUGUUCUAGCUGUGGUGGCUAAAUCAUCUUAAUUAAGCAAUGGGUAAGAGCAGAGUUAGUUUUAGAUGACCCUUACAUUGUCAUUUUGGCAACUGCUGUUUAGAAAAAUUAUAUCUUUCAAAUUUUCCAGAAUAACAAACUAUGCAGGGCUUGAACUGCUUAAUUCUGUGCCCAGCAUAAUGUUGUCUGCUCUAUAGCAAGAGCUGAGAUAUUUAGUCUUAGUGCAGCCCUUUUUCUACUCACUCCAGCCAACCACAGAGUGAGGUGCUGUAUGUUUUGUUGUCUGUGCCUGUAAUUAGAUUCUUAGACCACAUACAGAGAGCAAGAAUUGAAUGGGAAGAUCUUAUGUUGUAUUCUUGCAUAUGUUACAACAACACAAAGGCAAUAGCACAAAACCAAUGCUUUCACUAUUUGGAUGUGUUCAAUGUAAAAAAAAUUAGCUCCAGAACAUUGUUUUCUCACUUGGAACAUUUGUCACAAAUUCAUUUUAAUGCUCUUUUUAGAGCAUUAUGGCACUCUUGGUGCCAUUUAGGAUGUUACCAGUAAAUAGGGCGCUCUAGGUGACAGGGAUGACCAAGACAUAGUGGUCGAGAUGUAAGAGGCAAGAUACAAAAUCUCUUCUGGCAGAAUCCAAAGAAUGCAUUAAAUACAUUGGCUUCAUGUUCUUAAACCAGAACAAAGAAAGAUGACAGAAUUUGCUGUAAUUUUCUGUGUCUGGUUGAAUACUUACAGUUUGAUUCAGCCUACAAAGAACUGUGCUCCAAAAGCAUCCAUUUGAAACAAUGGAAAUUUUUGAUGAGUUCCAAUGUGGCCAGGCUGUCUCCCUGGGGUGGAGGAAUGGGGGAACAUUUUGGUUUCUUCUAUUGAUUUUCCCCCUUUCUCCUCUUCUGCUUUUACUUCUAAAGACCUGCAGAAAACAAUCAAAGAUGAGGAAAAACUUCAAUUAAUGUAAGAUUGAAAAUGAGGGUUUCCAUGUGUGUAUAAUCAAAUAUUAUAUUAAGCGGUGUCCAGCUAAAUAGACAUGUGAAGGCUGUAAGUAUAAAAAAAUAGUAAUGCUGCUCCCCAAAAAAGCCCACAGAGCUGAAGUGCAAGAAUAGGCACUACAUCAACUUUAAAAAGUUCAUGCCUUGAUGCUUUGCUACCUUGCAACACUGUGGGCUGGGUUAGCAAACUAACUGUGCAGAUAAUGGGAUGGCUUGCAGCCAUUUAGCAGCCUUGCCUAGAAAGAAAGUCUGGUGGGUAAUAAUGGUGGCAUGAGGAAGGAGAAGACAGAAGGGCAGCAUCCUCUCCUUCCUGAAGAAGUAAUGCACUGACUCCUGUGAAAUCUGACUUGCCCCAUGGUUAGCCUCAGGCUUGUGAAAAUCCCAACCACCAUUUCUCUGUCUCCAGUUUUCCUCUGUCUCUCUUCCCCCUUGUGUUCUUGUAUUUUAUUGAGUUAAACACAGCACUCAGAAACACUCAAAUGUUCCUAGCACUUGCCUAAGAGCAUGGCUUGCAGUUUAAAGGGAUGGAAAUAUGCACUUGUGUAAUUGACAGUGUUAUUAGGAUCAACAGAUUUAUAACUGAUAACAAAACAACACUAUUUGUGUUCAGUGAGAACACUUGGAGAAAUAGAGCACAACAACAAGGGGUUUUGGUUAAGCCUUUAAGGGUUUUAGAGCAUACACUAUGCGUCAAAGGAGACAAUGCUUAAGUGGCCCUAUGGACAUAUGCCAAACACCCAGAUUAUCUGAGAACAAAAACUCUUAAUAGCGUGGACCAUGGGAUUUCCUGUGGAACUGGAGCAAUCAGGAGUGGGAGAUAUGCAGCCUUAUUUCAAAUAAACCUGUUUUGCAUAUGGAAAUAACAUUUCCCAAGAGAGCUGGCAACAGGAAAGCAGUAAUAUCACUUUUGGUUUAGUCUUGGCGCCUUGAGAGGAGAUUUUCAUUGUUUUCUUUCCUGUCUGCUGUAAUCACUUGAGGGCUAUGGAUUGGCAGUUGAUGUCUGGGAUGGCUGUCCUGGAAGAGCUGCUCGUGGGCUUGGCCUUGUGCUGGUCAGAGCUCAGUAGAAGAAAGUUAAGAGGGAAAGGUCAUUCGGAAAGAAUGAAAGGCAACUUUGUUGAGAGAGCUUUCUGGGAUUUCCCCACUGCCCAGCAGUGCAGAUAAAUGCUUUGGUGUGAGAAGUGCUGGUCCUCACCUGCUGGGCACAGCCUGCUUACACAUGAGCUUAUCAGACAUUGGGAUUCACUUUCAGAAGACAAAUGCUCAACAGUAAUUUUGGUAGCAGGGAAAUACUGAAAACUCCUGAGCUUUAAACACUGGAAACAAUAUAUGUUUGCUUAUCAUAGAGCAAUUUUUCACAGUCUGGGCAAAUGUUUGUGAGAAAAUGGAGCAAAUGGUGGAGAACAGCAUUAGUUGGAUGUGAUGUAUUGACUUAAGGUUAGACAUAGGUCAGUAAGUAGAGGCUGAAGGCAAGCAAUGAAAAAAUACAUAUUUUACCAAAUUCUAGGUCUAUUUAAGAUAUAUCUGACCACCUCUGCUGGGAAGAAAAAAAAAAAAAGGAAAAUCUAGCUUGGUGUUAGAGGGUUUGCUUUCAGUGUAAUUAGUUACCAUCACAGCAAUUUGUUUUGUCAAAUGACUAUUGCUUCUGAUCAGGCAGGAAUGGACUUUGAAAAUGUCACACUUCCCAGCUGCUCAUAACUUGAGCAAAAGUGAGUUUAAAGAUAUUGGGAAGGUUUUUAAUGCUCGUGUUGCUCUGCUGUGCUCUCUUCACUGUGAUGGAAAUGGGUUUGUUCCAUUUCCACAUGCAGGUUUGGCAGGAGCUUGGAGACAGGAGUUAAUGGGGAUGCUGAGAAGCCUGCUGGUGCCUGGCUUUGCAUCCCAGCUGCAGGCUGCAGACACUGCAGCCUUUGUGCCUGUUCAUGCAGUUCUCUGUGGGCUGAGGUGCCAUCGCUGGGGUACGGGGGGCAGUUCCCAUUAGUCCGACCUGGACAAACUUGGCCCAUAGAAUGGGAAGUUCUUGUGUUGUCCUCGCUGUGUUUUGCAGCUGUUUUGAAUUUCAGUUCUUUAGAAUGAAGCACGGUGAAUUCUUUGAAUCUUUUCUCCACACCCAGAGGGCAGGAGGGAAAUAAGGGAACCAUUCGGAGCGGAACCUUCCUUAGCUGGACUUGGCCAACAGAGGAUUUGGUGAAUGGCUUUCACAGAUCUGCUUCAGGGCUCCUCUGUGCAGAGCCACAAUAACAGCUCUGGCUGUGGGGAGGGCAGGGAGAAAUGCUUGUUAAAUAAAUCUCUGA